AAGUCUGAAAAAAAAAAAAAGAAAAAAAAAAAAAAAGAUGAUCAGUGUUGGGGAUAAGAAGAGCACUUAUGCGCCCUGACUAGCCUCACCUGAGGCCUCCACCCAAAAGCCCCGCCCUCAGCCCCAUUCCAGCCCAGCCUGUGGCCAUGCUCUGGCCUUGUCACGUCUCUACUCUGCCCAGCCAUGUGCCCUGUGGGCUGUCAGCCACCUCAUCCUACUCCAUCCCAUGUCGUGGCUGUCUCUGACCCUGCUUCUCCUCACUGGGCCUCAUCCUGCCCUGUUUCUGCUGACUCACAGCACAGCUGGGGGUGUCAGGAACUGUCCUGGACCCAUCAGAAACAGCUCAGGGGUGGGAGCGUGACAGGCCCCAGCUGCAGCGGGCGGUGCAGUGCCCUUACGGACAGGAGUUGCUUGGUAUGGUCUGUGCCGCAGUCCAGGCAAGCGGAUCGGAAGGGAAGAUAAGAGCAACUGAAGCCAAAUCCAUGGAGUCAAGCGCUGUCCUCAGGACUGCAGCCAGUAACUGAGGAAAGACACUGGUUUCACUAGUCCACUUGUUUGAUGCUAUUCCUGCUAACUUUUGUCACCUCUGCUGUCUCUGGACACCGCAAGACACUGAGGAGGCCACCUAAAACAAAGAGCCCCUUUCUGCCAAUGUAUCACCACGACAGCGGUCAAGCAGAGCGUCUCCACUAAAUCUGUACACUGGGGAACCAAAAGAAUUACUGAGAGCCCUGCCUUUGCCUAUGAAACCUUCCAUCAGUUUAACAAGACUGCAUAGGUUGACAGGACAAUAAACAUGAGUUAUAUUUUGGGUGAGGCUUCUGCCCGGAGGGGUGGGGAAGAACACAGGUCAUUGAGUGUGAAGAACUUAUUUUUGUAGUCAAAUAAAUGUUAAUAUGUAAGAUGGGUUUGUCUUCUUCCAUAAAUAUGAAAGUAUAUAAGUCACACAAUAACUCAACAAACAAGCUGACACUGUCUAUCAAUAAAUGAUGACAAUAGGGAAGAAGGAGAUAAAAAACUCAUCCCCAAAACAUGAGGAAAAUAAUCAGUGCUUGAAGGUGAAGGUGCUGCCAGCUCCUACAAACCUGUGUCUGCCUUGGAGAUGACCUAAACCAGAGAGCAGGACUGCACAGCAGAAAAAGAACCAAGCUAGAUGAGGCAGGCAGGAACUGGUCGCUACUAUGGAGCAGAGAGCUGCAGCUCGUGGGGAUAUUUCCAUCUGACAGCAGCAUGUGUGGUAUGGUAGCUCUCAGCCACCUGCCUCUUAGCUGUAAGGAUUCUUCAUGGAUUUCCCGUGUGACAACUUCUGAAAAAGAAAAAAAAUCUGUUAUCUAUUCAUGAACUACAAACCUUGCCAUAUGGCUGCUAUGCAAUAAAUCAAGGCACAUAUAGAUGUUUUUUUUCUGUUGUCUGAUGCUCACCACCCCACCGAAGAUUUGCUUCAUCCACAACAUAACAAGAUCUAAAAGCUUUACAUCUUUGGGCUUCAUUACGUUGGUCUCUGUUCAGACAGACUGGACAGAAGAUGUAUGCUAAACAAAUCAGGAGGAAUGUCUGAGUGCACCCAACUGAAACAGAUUUGUUUUCUGAGUAUAUAAAAGCUUUUUUAUCACUCCUGGCACAUACAUUUCAAACGUGUUAUA